GAUGAACGCUGGCGGCGUGCCUAAUACAUGCAAGUCGAGCGAACAGACGAGGAGCUUGCUCCUCUGACGUUAGCGGCGGACGGGUGAGUAACACGUGGAUAACCUACCUAUAAGACUGGGAUAACUUCGGGAAACCGGAGCUAAUACCGGAUAAUAUAUUGAACCGCAUGGUUCAAUAGUGAAAGACGGUUUUGCUGUCACUUAUAGAUGGAUCCGCGCCGCAUUAGCUAGUUGGUAAGGUGACGGCUUACCAAGGCAACGAUGCGUAGCCGACCUGAGAGGGUGAUCGGCCACACUGGAACUGAGACACGGUCCAGACUCCUACGGGAGGCAGCAGUAGGGAAUCUUCCGCAAUGGGCGAAAGCUUGACGGAGCAACGCCGCGUGAGUGAUGAAGGUCUUCGGAUCGUAAAACUCUGUUAUUAGGGAAGAACAAAUGUGUAAGUAACUAUGCACGUCUUGACGGUACCUAAUCAGAAAGCCACGGCUAACUACGUGC
rnacentral:rRNA from 1 species